GUCUACGGCCAUGCCACCCUGAACUUGCCGGAUCUCGUCUGAUUUCGGAAGCUAAGCAGGGUCGGGCCUGGUUCAUACUUGGAUGGGAGACCACCUAGGAAGACCAGGUGCUAUAGGUG
rnacentral:rRNA from 1 species